rnacentral:rRNA from 1 species
GAUGAACGCUAGCUACAGGCUUAACACAUGCAAGUCGAGGGGUAACGAGAGGAAAGCUUGCUUUCCUUGUCGACGACCGGCGCACGGGUGAGUAACGCGUAUCCAACCUGCCCCCAACUAGGGAAUAACCUUGCGAAAGUAAGACUAAUACCCUAUAAUUUCCUCAGAUGUCAUCUGACGAGGAAUAAAGAUUUAUCGGUUGUGGAUGGGGAUGCGCCUGAUUAGCUUGUUGGCGGGGUAACGGCCCACCAAGGCAACGAUCAGUAGGGGUUCUUAGAGGAAGGUCCCCCACAUUGGAACUGAGACACGGUCCAAACUCCUACGGGAGGCAGCAGUGAGGAAUAUUGGUCAAUGGGCGGAAGCCUGAACCAGCCAAGUAGCGUGCAGGAUGACGGCCCUAUGGGUUGUAAGCUGCUUUUAUACAGGAAUAAAGUUAGCCACGUGUGGUUAUUUGUAGGUACUGUAUGAAUAAGGACCGGCUAAUUCCGUGCCAGCCGCCGCGGUAA